AUUGAACGCUGGCGGCAUGCCUUACACAUGCAAGUCGAACGGCAGCACGGGAGCAAUCCUGGUGGCGAGUGGCGAACGGGUGAGUAAUACAUCGGAACGUGCCCACUCGUGGGGGAUAACGCAGCGAAGGCUGUGCUAAUACCGCAUACUAUCUACUGAUGAAAGCAGGGGGGCGCAAGGACGUGCGGGAAUGGAGCGGCCGAUGGGAGAUUAGGUAGGUGGUGGGGUAAAGGCUCACCAAGCCAACUAUUUGUAGGUGGUCUGAGAGGACGAGCAGCCACACGGGGACUGAGCCAGGGCCCAGACUCCUACGGGAGGCAGCAGUGGGGAAUUUUGGACAAUGGGCGCAAGCCUGAUCCAGCCAUGCCGCGUGCAGGAUGAAGGCCUUCGGGUUGUAAACUGCUUUUGUACGGAACGAAACGGCCUUUUCUAAUAAAGAGGGCUAAUGACGGUACCGUAAGAAUAAGCACCGGCUAACUACGUG
rnacentral:rRNA from 1 species